rnacentral:rRNA from 1 species
UACGAAGGGAGCUAGCGUUUUUCGGAUUUACUGGGCGUAAAGGGCGCGUAGGCGGUUAUGCAAGUCAGAUGUGAAAGCCCUGGGCUCAACCCGGGAAUUGCAUUUGAAACUGCAUGGCUUGAGUAUGGGAGAGGUAGGUAGAAUUCCCAGUGUAGAGGUGAAAUUCGUAGAUAUUGGGAAGAAUACCAGUGGCGAAGGCGGCCUACUGGACCAUAACUGACGCUGAGGCGCGAAAGCGUGGGGAGCAAACAGG